rnacentral:rRNA from 1 species
GUUGUUCCGCCAGGAGCACCGCCGGGUAGCCGCGUCGGGUAAGGAUAAGUGCUGAAAGCAUCUAAGCACGAAGCCCCCCUCAAGAUAAGAUCUCCACACAAGGGCCGUUUAAGACUAAGACGUAGAUAGGCCGCAGGUGCAGGUACGGUAACGUACACAGCCGAGCGGUACUAAUCGCCCAAACCCUUUCUUGGG